rnacentral:misc_RNA from 1 species
CUAAUAUGUUCUGAAAUAAACUUAUUUCCCGAUGAAUGCCUCCAAUGACUGUACCUUUAUAUCCCUGUUUCAGGAAGAAGAGAGAGAAUUAGGAGAGAUAAAAAUGAAAAUGACAAAGAAACGAGAGAGUUGGUCUUCAAAAAAGAAGGACAAGAGUAUGCGCAAGUCGUUAAAAUGCUAGGAAAUGGGAGAGUAGAAACAAACUGUUUUGAUGGAACCAGUAGAUUAGCUUAUAUCAGAGAAGAACAAAGAAAGAAGGCUAAUGUUGGAGAUAUUUUAUUAUUACAAUUAAGGGACUAUCGAGAUGCAAAGGCAGAUGUUAUAUUCGUAUACACCCUUGAAGAGGCCAUCAACCUAAAAGCAUAUGGAGAAUUAACAGAAACUGCCAAGAUCAAUGUGAACGUUAACACUCCUAAAGCUGAAGAUGAUAACAUCACUUACGAUAAUUGUCAUAGUGAUGAAGGAGAGGGUAUUGAUGAUAUAUAAAAGGGACGCUCUAUCAAAACCAUUUCCGAUGUGCACCAGAAAAAUAAAUAGGUCUUAGCAUAUUUAAAUAUUUAAAAUCCAGGAUAAGGGGGAUUCAAUAAAACACUUCAAGAUCAUUAAGGUAUAAAGAGGUGAUGAUUGUAGUUGAAAAUAAUAACAAAACAAUGAAAUAGAGAAAUGAAUAAUAG